AUGAACGCUGGCGGCGUGCCUAAUACAUGCCAGUCGAGCGAACGGACGAGAAGCUUGCUUCUCUGAUGUUAGCGGCGGACGGGUGAGUAACACGUGGAUAACCUACCUAUAAGACUGGGAUAACUUCGGGAAACCGGAGCUAAUACCGGAUAAUAUUUUGAACCGCAUGGUUCAAAAGUGAAAGACGGUCUUGCUGUCACUUAUAGAUGGAUCCGCGCUGUAUUAGCUAGUUGGUAAGGUAACGGCUUACCAAGGCAACGAUGCAUAGCCGACCUGAGAGGGUGAUCGGCCACACUGGAACUGAGACACGGUCCAGACUCCUACGGGAGGCAGCAGUAGGGAAUCUUCCGCAAUGGGCGAAAGCCUGACGGAGCAACGCCGCGUGAGUGAUGAAGGUCUUCGGAUCGUAAAACUCUGUUAUUAGGGAAGAACAUAUGUGUAAGUAACUGUGCACAUCUUGACGGUACCUAAUCAGAAAGCCACGGCUAACUACGUG
rnacentral:rRNA from 1 species